rnacentral:ncRNA from 1 species
GUAUUUUAUGUUGUACAAACCUCAUAGCAUAAUUUUAGUAUUGACCCAUUUUUAAUGUCACUAUGUAAUUCGUGCAUUACUGCUAGCCAACACGCAUAAUAUAUA